rnacentral:rRNA from 1 species
UACGGGGGGGGCAAGCGUUGUUCGGAAUUACUGGGCGUAAAGGGUUUGUAGGUGGCCAACUAAGUCAGACGUGAAAUCCCUCAGCUUAACUGGGGAACUGCGUCUGAUACUGGUUGGCUUGAGUGCAGGAGAGGAACGCGGAAUUCCAGGUGUAGCGGUGAAAUGCGUAGAUAUCUGGAGGAACACCGGUGGCGAAGGCGGCAUCCUGGACCGGCAUUGACGCUGAGGCGCGAAAGUGUGGGGGGCGAACAGG